UUUCCAUCAUAAGAAGAUUCUGGGAUUAUGGCCGUAUUGCCUUGGUGUCAGAAGCAGACAGUGAAUCCAGAUUCCAGAGAUCAUUGUCGUCUUCCUCCUCAAGGCAACACGACGUUGAAAGCGAGCGGGGACUGUUCUCCUGGCUGGUUAGGAUCUUCCACCUGAG